CUCCGGACAACUUGAGAGAGCAUAGGCCCAUUGAAUUCUCAGUAAAUGAUGCAUAUUGUGCCCCUGCAGAUGAAACAAUCAUAACUGAAGUUCAACCAAUGUUUUGGGAUGUAUCGUGUCUGAGGCCUCGUGUCAGCCACUGUGGAUAAGGAAAAGACAUGCACCCUCAGCAGAAGGCAGAGCAUAAACAAAGGAACAAAUCCAAGCCGUCCCUCUCCAGGUUCCAGAGGAUACUUUCCCAGCUGAGAUGAAAAUAUUUCCUUCCAGAGAGGAAAUAUUUCCUUUCUUUCCUGAGAGGAAGAAGACCAUUCAAGGUCAACAACAUAUGUGACAGCCCUCAAGAAUGAGAGUAGAGAACAUUCCAGAGCAUCACUGUGACCAUCACAUAUGGUACAUCUGAAAAUUGAGGCCCAAGCAGGAUGUGUUCUUAUAUACCAUGGUAAAAAAGGAAUUAGAAAAACCUCCAGGAGGCUAACGGAUGUGAGGGAAGGAUUUCAGGCAAGUCAAUAAUAUGCUCAAAUUUAAUUGUAAGGAUUCAGUCUAGCAUCACAGAUGAGGGAUGAAUUGAGGAAGAGGCAAGUCUUGCUCCCAGAGACUGCUAAAAGACUUGAAGUAACAGAAGCAACAAGCAAUGAGGUUUUGAGGACAGAAAGUACAUAGGAUACUUUCAAGGAGAAAAAGUUGCCUGGACUUGAUGAUCAGUUGGCUUUUGCUGGGUGGAGAAAAUGCAGAAAUAUAAAAUGCCUCCUAAAUUUCUGAACUAGAUCCCUUGGGCAAUGUGCCUUCUACAAAGAAAGAUGAGAAAGAACAGUUUUGAAAUACAUAAUAAUAACAGCUGAAAUGCAUAGAGUUCUCACUUGCCACUCAUUAUACUGAAUUCUGUGUCAUUUCUUGUGUCAAAAACGAGUCCAGUUUUGGGAAGGAUGAGUUUGGGCAGCUCAUGACUAUCCAUGUCGAUAUCCUCACCAUCAGCUCCAGGGGAAUAUCUGAGUCUGCAGCUUAGAGGAGCUACUGGGAUUGGAAAUCAAAAUUUAUGACUUGUGAGGAUAAC
rnacentral:lncRNA from 1 species